UGCCUUUCAGGCUGGAGAAAGGCAGAAAGACCUGCUGUCUGAAACAGCAGCCUGGCUUUGGCAGGCAGCCAGCAACCAGCAGAACUUAUUGCCAAUGCCGCAAAUCCCUCCUAUCAGCCAACAAAGAUCAAGACUGCAGGUGAAACAUCAUUUUAGACCGUGACAAGAAUUUCCUUGAAAAUGCAUAAGAUCCAUGACCUUGACCUUAAUGACAAUUUUUUUCCUAAUUUCAGUUAAAUACACAAUGCAUACUAUUGUUUUAUCAGCGAUAUCAAAUCACAUUACUGCACAUCACCGCAGUAUGAAAAUCAUUCUGAGUUUUUCCCUCUGCUACAGAAGAACGAUAUCGCACUACACCCACAACUACAAGGAGGCAGGAGGGAAGAAUAUGAUGUGGAAUUUUAAGUCACAGUUUAUUUCUAUGCUAAACAGCUUAAAUAAUUACGUGUAACCAAUGCAUGCUUCUUCAGUGAGCAUUCAGGUACACAGUUCAUGGUGGCCAACGAUUCCCAAAAUACAGCUUCAUGAGCAACCGAACAAGGCUGGCAUCCUGCCGAUCGGAGAGAGAACCCUAUCCUGUUGAACUGAAGCAGUGAAUCUUCUUCUCUGCAAACCUACAAUCACAAGUUGCUAAACAGCUACAUACUGUUCUCAGCCAGGCCAUUCUGUCCUACGGCUGCAUAAAUUUGUCCACAAUGGUUUGCAGAAUGAGCGAGAAAAGUCCCACUUGCCAACACAAAGCUUCCAGAUGUUUGCUGGGGCAGAAGAACACUUGAACUGUAAAUUAAGCUGGUACAAGUCAUGAAACUUCACAGAAGCAAAGCCACUGACAGUGACAUAGAUAGGAAGAGGCAAAUACCCUCCUUAGACCUUGCCAAUCUCUCUAAGAGCAACCCCAGUUGACCCAAUCAGCCACAACUAACCUGCAACUGGAAGCUACUAACUUCCAGAAUUCAACCGUCAUGCUGUCAACAGUCAGAGGAAUGCACACGCUAUCUGUUGAGCUAGAUGAACUUUGCACAUGGACAGUAUGUAUUAUACCUCUUUGAACUUAACCUGCCAGAGAUUACUUAAGCUUUGGGUUGAUGAUCUCAUCCCCAGUGCAAGCAGAAAACAAGAAACUCGACCACCACAUUCCUUCUGUAUCACCCACAUGACACAAAGUAAAUAUACUUUCUGGCCACACUCAUUACCAGCAAUCAGUCAUCUGCCAGCAAACUCAAAGAGAAAAACCUCGGCUGCGGGAAAGUAAAAGCUUCACAAGCUGCAGCACAGGCUGUGACACCGUGUUACAUCACGCAAAUCUGUUCAGUUGGGCACCUUCUCACACCGGCUUUGGAAGUGGGGGGCUAGAGAUUAAACUCUUCUUUCCCCAGCACUGCAGCACACACAAAGCAGUGGGGCUGCCACCCACAAUACACUAAGGAAGUUUGGGGCUGGUAUACCAGUCUGGAAGAGAAAGCUUACAGCAUCUAUGUGCUUGAAAAGGACUACCAGAGCUGCAAAUCUGCCAGUAACAUUUCUGGCCAGAAAGAGCCGAGAAUUCCAAAGCAGAACAGAAACAAACAAGCCCCAAACUAACCAGAACCCCAUCUACUUCCUGGUAGAAUUUCAGAUUGAUCCAUCUGUACAAUACUUUUCCAAACAGUUCCAGGAGCACAGAUUUUUACAGCAUAUACCAGCUACUGUCUACCUUCCAAAUACUGUUUGGGAGUGAUGAUUCUUUUUGUGCACUGGACCUCUGAACGUAAGAGCGCAAAUCUCAUCUGCUGUGGAAUCAGUAGCUGUUCCACAUUUCAGUUCAAAGCAAAUAACAGAAUCAAAUUACAUUAUCUCACUGCAUGAAAUAAAUCUAUAGUCUUAAAUCUGAAACAAUUCAUCUGAAAAGUGUUAUUUUGCAUUUGUGAAGACAUGACAUUACUACAUAAUAAAUACGCAGGAUCUGAAA